AUUUUUUUUAAAGGUUCAUAUCUAUAACACUGAAAGAUUUUCUGUAUUGCCUAUUGUCUGCUGCUGUGGGCAGGGAAACAUUGAAGAUUAUAAACAUAAAAAAGAACAACAUAGCAAAUCUUUUCAUCUUUGCAUCUUUAAUGCUUUGUUGUUAUUAAAAAGUGCCCAGGGUUACACUGCAGAGAGGAAAAGGAUACUGCCUGAAGUUAGCUUAAAAAGCUAAAUUCUAUUUUAAGCUGGUACUGUCUGACAAGGGAUUUCAUAUUUGUUGGUUAGAGCUUUUAGCGCAAGAAAAGGGAGUAGAGUGUUGUACGGGAAGAAGAUUUAUCUGUCAGCUUUUGCUUAACAAAGUUUUGGGAAACUGACAACAAAGCAAACACACACGUUUCUGCAACUGAACAAAGAGCACAGCACUGCAUUUCUGAGAAGCAGCUAAGAUUAAACUCCUACUUCCCUUCUGCUGAAGCUGUACCAGGGCACACACUGCUCCCAGGUGCUGCAGGAAGCACACUCCAAGAUAUCAGCUGCUCCUAACACGAUGCAGGGUAUUGCAGGUCCUACCUCUGGACAUAAUCCUGGGCUCUGACAGCUUCCCACUCAUAUGCCAGAGCACUACUAGUAGCAAACAGUCAUUACUGUUCAAUUCAUAACCCUUACCUGAGCAGCUUCUGAGGUGGAAAACACUCCAACCCAAACUCAGUAAUAACAAUACAUGAACUCAGUAAUAACAAUAAUGUUCCCAGAAAAUGACGAAGCAGCAUGUGUUACUUUCAUAUAUAUCACAAAAGCAAGUAAACAGCUGAUCUAGCUAAUUAAUCAGGUAUUCUGUUUAGAUUUCAUUUUGACAGUUUACUUAAAAUAAUUGUAUUUGUUCUCAACAAAGACUGAAUUAUUUCCUGAGAUGGCUGUCACAAAUAUUUCCUCCUCAGGUCAGAGACCAGGUAAUCAAGACAGAAUGCUGCUUUUUCAGGGGCAGGACUGUAAAAACUCUUGCAAUUCCUUUACUGAUAUACAAACCAGCUAAAAAACACUUCUUAAUUAGACCUCACAUGUGAAUGGAAGUGAAUACAAGGAUUCAGCUCAAAAGUCUCAGAGCAAAAGCCUUUAGGCUCAUGAGAAAGGCAGCAUGAUGCAUUACAGCACCGAGUAAGUUGCCACAGCACAAGCACACCAAGGCUACAAUACUUCAGUGGUCACCCCAGAAUAAGCAUCUGAGGAUGGUCACUACACAGCAAUGUAAGCAUAACUUUCUUUCCCCAAGAUUGUCCCUUUGAAUGUCUGUUCACAGUCCUUUCCUGAGCAGGAAAAGUAAUUUGACUAGUUUUGGUGCAAAAUGUCUACUGCCUGAUAUUUCUUCAGAGGUAUACAAAUAAAUUCCUGAAGAUUUUUCCACACACAGAAAAUCCCACAUUGUGUCUAGAAGUACAGAUUACAGAAACUUCACCACUUAAUAAACUGCUUAUCUUCAAAAAAACCGCUGUGGCCUAUUAUCUCAGCAGUAACUGCCAAGACACAGCAAACUGUAACAGCUUCAGAAGACAGAGCAUCUGCUGAAGGAGUCCAAAGUCAUUUCCAGUUCUCAAAAACAAGAGUUAUGUCAACUCAUUUGCAGUACACAAUUAUCCAAAGCAGCCCACAGAGAGGUCCAAGAUCAUUAGUGAACAUAUAAUAAAAGAUCCCUUUUUAAGAUAAUCACUGGAAAAUUUUAUGACUUUACCAAGAUUAUUUUAAUCUUGGCUAAUCUUACUUCAAGCAGAUCUCCUUAAGUCCAGUUAUGUUCCUGAGCUCUAAAACAUCUGGUGAAAACGGAAGAAUUACUUUGACUCCUUCUAAGACCCUGGUGUCAAAAGGUCAGAUUAUUUCCACCUGACUAAUACAAGGCCACGGCAAGACUCAUACUGCAGAUCUGUUCGUCUGACCUCCUGAAGCAUUUCUGGAAGUUAGCUGAAGCGCUGCCCGCCUCGCAUAUCACCUGUGCUCCCACCAUUUCGGCAUGGGAGACCUGCACCACCAGCUGGGUAAAUCCAGCGCCUUUUGGGCUUUCGGUGCGCUGCUCUUAAAUUACCUGAUCGGCUGCUCCUGCUCGGCCAAACGUGCCCUUUGGUUAGCAAAGCGCCGGGAAGCCGAUCCGCGGCAGCCAGUGCUUAGAAGAAGAAAUGAUAGGAAAACUUCAUAUUCAAUAAGGUAUGGUGAUUCACUGCAGGACUUCUGUAGACUGUUGGCUAACUGCUUGAAAAACCUGAUGACUUACUAACCUCCAAGGUUUAUAUCCAAACAGUAUCUCCAAACUUGCCCUGCUAAGUCUUUGGUGUCAGGGCUGAUUAGAAGACAGCAGGAGAUGGAGGCACUGUUCCUCCCAACAUUUAGGUCAGCUCUGGUACUCUCUCGUGUGUAUCUAGGCCACGUCUAAUUAAUCCCAGAAUAUUCCAUCACGGCUGGAUUACCUCUGUCAGCAUCUCCCUCAGAAACCUGGCAGCAAAGAUUUUACCUCAGGUGAAGAUUUUCCCUUUUCUAAAGGCAAAUGGGAGUGGUUUUUUUCAUUGUAUAAGUACAUAAUGUUUAUGCAACAAUUUACAGAGCCCUUAGGAUGUGAAGUAGUAGAGGCAAAUAGCUUCACUUGAAAUUACUGGAAUGUUGCCAGAUUUAAACAGAGCCAAGAUUUCACCCCCAGUUGUUUUAAGGAUGAAAUUUACCAGCCUUCUCAUCUCCAAGUUUGAAUUUACUAUUCAAAAGAAUCACAUACUUUUUCCUUUUUCCAAGCCAAAUGUGAAUACUAAGUGCUUAUUCAAACUAAGAUCAGAAAAGAUGAAAGAUCUAAAAACACAAUAAAAAUUGCACCUAAAAGCCUACUGGACAUCAGCAAAAGUUAAGGAACUAAAUGGUAUUUUUGCACUUUAAGCUGCAGCCUGCAGUCUGCGUGGUCACUACCAGAAUUACAUAAACAGUUUGCAAAGACACAUAACAGCUCUUGGAGGUGCUUAAACCAGGACAAGCCAACACUGUGGAGCAGUGGAUAUGCAACUGGAAAAAUAACCCAGAGACACUUACUGAACUAAGCACGCCCUGCACCCUUGUUCUGUGUACCACUGUAGUGAAGCACAGAAUCACAGCACUAAAAACAGACUGUUGAUUAGCAAUGCAAAAUUUAGAUGCAAUUAUGCAAGGUGCUGGCUGUCUCAAGCAGUGCCACAUUUGUAUAAUGAGGGUGAAAAGUAUCGUGACUUUUGGAAUCAAUGCGCAGUAAACAUGCAUUCAUCUAUGCAAAGAGCCAGUGGAUUUUUUCUUAUACCUGAUGGUAAAGUACUACAUGACAAGACAAUUUAUUAGUUGCAGAACAAGAAAUACCAGCUAUUGGAGAUGUAUUAAUAUGAACUUUAAAACACAGGCAAAGAACUGCCCAGGCAUUUCUGCAGUGGGUGGGGUAUGUUUUUAAACUACACCCUCCACUGCUCAAAUUAUGCCCUUGCAAUCUCCUUUAGUUAAACAACAAAAGGAUUUUCACUGCAUUUUGCACAGGAUUGUUGUCAAGACCUUCAUUUAAAUGCUUCUACUGAUACCUUCAGGAUUAUGUAAUAUUAAAAAUGUAAAUAAGAUGCAGAUUUGUCACAUACUCAUUUUCCUUUCCUAUCUAAGUUGAUUACUAAAGGAGGAAAUGCUAUUCAUAUAUGCUCAUUACUAACACACUAAAAAAUCCAUAUAGCGAAACUUCAUUUUUUUAAAUGUCACUAGAAAAAUAGUCAAAUCAGUAUUAGUCAUGAGUUUUGCCUGAGUUAAGAUUUACCUACCCUCCACAUGUGCACUUGUGGGUCACUGACAUACUUAGCACCUGUGUUUGAGAAGUCAUCUUGUUUUAUCUCAUAUUAGAAGGAGGAAGGCAGAUUUUCUAGACAUAUGGUGACUGCACCUGCAGCAAAAGUACAAUAGGUGUAUUGCAAUCCAUAGCCAAUGCAGUGAAAUUGCCAAAUCCUGCUUUCUUGCAUUUAAUGUCUUAGCCUGAACUCGGAUAGAUAAAAAAAAUAUUGUCAUUUUGACAGGUGAAAAAUUUACACUGGCUGGUGAUGUGAUAUUAAAACCACUCCAGCUUAGUGUAAGCUCUCACAAUUCACAUUUUUCUUCCACCAAGGUCCCCUCCUAUGAUACUGGACUUCACCAGAGGAGAAGGACUCGCAUCUUUUUUGUCAUGGUCCAAAUCUCUGGCUGUACCUAAGAGUCCUAAGCAUAUUUUGCUCUGCCUAAAUUUCAGUCAGGCAGCUCAACUCAGAGCAGAAGGAUGAACUAGAUUUCUACUGGUGUUUUUAACUGUGAUAAGCUUCCUGAUGCUAUGCAUUAAGUAAGAUACCAAAAUAACAGUGUGGGACAGUUGCCACUAUUGAGAGAUUAUAGCAUCUUUGUCCUUUUGCUUUGGAGAUGUACCCCUUCUUGUGCUUCAUCACCCAGUUCAGACUCUGUACAAACUGUGCUUUAAUAGUGGUAGCAAGAUGAAGAUCCCAAAAUGCUUUCUAAUCUUAUAAUUCCCCAUCAUGUACAAUGCCCACUAGGCUACUAAAUUUUCACCAUCUUUUUUGUGACUAGCAUCUCAAACUCAUCAGCCUUAAGCAGCAGAGGAAAAGUUACAGUUGUUAGAGUUAUCUAUAGUCUUCAUGAUUGCAUCUUGAUAAGAGAGAAAGGUGUGCUAUUUGUGUGGAUUCUACAGGGUCUAAACGUGGAACGCUAUUGCCCUGUAUGAAGCAGAAAAACAUGAAGUUGUUAUUCAAAAAGUGUAUCAGUCAUGUUGGUUUAAAAAUGCCCUACAUUCAAGAAUGUGGAUUUUAGACUCAGCUAGGCACAAUUUUCCUUGUAACACCUACAGAAGUUAAUUAAACUUUGCAAUCCAGACAGAGAUGCACUAUUAGCUCAGACAAGAAUGAUAAAUAACUUGCACUUUCUGAGAGAAUGAGUACAUAUAGUACAUGCAAAAUGUAUGCUAUUAUUUUAAAAAGAGCUUUUAAGUUUUUAUGAGUGCCUGCAUGACUUGCAUUGUUGUUGAAAAAUUAAAACAGUUCAUUGUA